rnacentral:lncRNA from 1 species
GCGGGAUGGGUCUUGAAACAGGUUGGAGGAUUCGAUGGAGAAGAAAACCUAAUUUGCAAACAUAGACAAAAAAAUUAAACAUGUGAUUAAAUUAAAUCAUAAAAUAACAUAUGGAGAAGCANNNNNNNNNNNNNNNNNNGAGAUUGUGGCUUGUGCCAUCCAAGAAGGUUGAUUCAUGGAGAGAGAAGAAGUUCGAAGAAUCAACAAAAAAUGGAGAGAGAUGAGUAAGAAAGUGAGUUUAGAUAUUGAAAAAGAAUGGGAAAAAUUGAAUUUUGAAAUUGAUUCCAACAAAGCAAGAAAAACAACAGUAGCAGCAGCAUCAGUCCUGCAAGGAGAUUUUUUUGUUUGGUCUCAAGCAAAUGCAAUAAACGGACUGGGUUAUAUCAGUUUGGUUUUCUCCUAGAUUAAAGUUUACAUAUAACAAAUAAAACUAAUUAAAAUUGAUACAAAUCUAAAAAAAAAAAAAUCUGAAAUUUAACAAAAACAAAUCAAUCAUUUGAGAAAACUAUCUAAACGCCACUAACUCCUAAAAAGUAGGGAUUAUUAACUAAACGAUAGAAACAA